rnacentral:tmRNA from 1 species
GGGGCUGACUGGCUUUGACAGCGUGUAGAAGCGGUAGGUAAGCAUGCAGAGUUUUGGUGUUCAAACUCUAUAAUCGCAAGAGCAUCGAACUAUAAUUGGCGAAAAUAACAAUUACGCUCUCGCUGCGUAACCUGAAGUACAGUAGGGUUCCUUUAUUCGCCUCAAAGUGAGGUGAACGAGACAUCACUCCAUUGCCCCGUCCCGAGACGUUUGGAUAAAGUGGUGCUAAGAAAUUCGGGAAUAGGGGAUUGCAAGUUCCGGGCAAUUCCCGAGAUAAAGGGACUAAGGUUCGGGUUGGAUGUCGUGAUCCUGCCCGCGCUCGAAAACCAAUUCACAGACUAAGCAUGUAGAAAGCCUAUUGAUUCCGCGUUUGGACGAGGGUUCAAUCCCCUCCAGCUCCACUU